GAGCGGUAGCAGGUGUAGCAAUACAUGCUGACGAGCGGCGAACGGGUGAGUAAUGCUUCGGAAUCUGCCCAAUGGUGGGGAAUAACCAGCCGAAAGGUUGGCUAAUACCGCAUAAGUCCUACGGGGGAAAGCAGGGGAUCGCAAGACCUUGCGCCGAUGGAUGAGCCGAAGUCGGAUUAGCUAGUUGGUAGGGUAACGGCCCACCAAGCCAGUGAUCCGUAGCUGGUCUGAGAGGAUGAUCAGCCACACUGGGACUGAGACACGGCCCAGACUCCUACGGGAGGCAGCAGUGGGGAAUAUUGGACAAUGGGGGCAACCCUGAUCCAGCAAUGCCGCGUGAGUGAUGAAGGCCUUAGGGUUGUAAAG
rnacentral:rRNA from 1 species